GACGAACGCUGGCGGCGUGCUUAACACAUGCAAGUCGAACGGUAAGGCCCUUCGGGGUACACGAGUGGCGAACGGGUGAGUAACACGUGGGUGAUCUGCCCUGCACUUCGGGAUAAGCCUGGGAAACUGGGUCUAAUACCGGAUAGGACCACUGCCUGCAUGGGUGGUGGUGGAAAGCUUUUGCGGUGUGGGAUGGGCCCGCGGCCUAGCAGCUUGUUGGUGGGGUGAUGGCCUACCAAGGCGACGACGGGUAGCCGGCCUGAGAGGGUGACCGGCCACACUGGGACUGAGAUACGGCCCAGACUCCUACGGGAGGCAGCAGUGGGGAAUAUUGCACAAUGGGCGCAAGCCUGAUGCAGCGACGCCGCGUGAGGGAUGACGGCCUUCGGGUUGUAAACCUUUUUUAGUAGGGAAGAAGCGAAAGUGACGGUACCUGCAGAAAAAGCACCGGCUAACUACGUGCCAGCAGCCGCUGUAA
rnacentral:rRNA from 1 species